rnacentral:rRNA from 1 species
AACCAGCAACGCCGCGUGUUCGAUGAAGGCCUUCGGGUUGUAAAGCACCUUUUGAGGGGAAGAGGAAGGACAGUACCCUCAGAAUAAGUCUCGGCUAACUACGCGCCAGCCGCCGCGGUAACACAAAGGAGACCAGCGUUAUCCUGAUUUACUGCGCGUAAAGCGCGUGCAGGUGGCUCGGAAAGUUCGAUGUGAACGCUCCCGGCUUAACGUGGAGAGGUCGUUGCAUACUUUCGGGCUAGAAGAUGGGAGAAGGAGGCGGAAUUCCGGGUGUAGUGGUGAAAUGCGUAGAUAUCCGGAGGAACACCAGUGGCGAAAGCGGCCUCCUGGCCCAUAUCUGACACUCAGACGCGAAAG